rnacentral:rRNA from 1 species
AUUGAACGCUGGCGGCAGGCCUAACACAUGCAAGUCGAGCGGAUGAAGGGAGCUUGCUCCUGGAUUCAGCGGCGGACGGGUGAGUAAUGCCUAGGAAUCUGCCUGGUAGUGGGGGAUAACGUCCGGAAACGGGCGCUAAUACCGCAUACGUCCUGAGGGAGAAAGUGGGGGAUCUUCGGACCUCACGCUAUCAGAUGAGCCUAGGUCGGAUUAGCUAGUUGGUGGGGUAAAGACCUACCAAGGCGACGAUCCGUAACUGGUCUGAGAGGAUGAUCAGUCACACUGGAACUGAGACACGGUCCAGACUCCUACGGGAGGCAGCAGUGGGGAAUAUUGGACAAUGGGCGAAAGCCUGAUCCAGCCAUGCCGCGUGUGUGAAGAAGGUCUUCGGAUUGUAAAGCACUUUAAGCUGGGAGGAAGGGCAGUAAGUUAAUACCUUGCUGUUUUGACGUUACCAACAGAAUAAGCACCGGCUAACUUCGUG